GAAGUGGGGGGUCCGCAUUGCUGUGUGCAGCGCGGUUCGGGAAAAACACGCCGCUCAGUAAAUACAAAAAACGGAGACGCAUUUUUUCCUUCUCAUUUCAAAGACUCAGAACUGAAAAUUGCCAGAGGUGAGAGCACUUUCUAAAGGACACAAAGUUCUGAUGAAGAUGGUUGUGAAAAUAAAAGGAUUUGGAAGAGGUAUAUAUUGUGAUUUUAGAGAGACACCUUUACCAGCAAAGUCCCACUUCACUAAGACCCUGCCAGACCUCAUUCUGCAUGAGUUACCACAGCGCGGCUUUGUAGACACAGAAUGCGCUUGCUUGAUUUCAAUCCAGAUCGACAAAAAGGAGAAUCACACAACAGCAGCCACGGACUGUUGAGCAGCCCAAGUCUCGCAUCGAGCAAGAAUUUCACUUGCAAAACUGCAGCAAUUAGUGUCCUCAGCUCCCGAACUAAAAAAGUCUCAUAUAAAAAGGAAAGCUGACGGAACACAAGUGUAAACACGCCUCUGUCCCAACUUUUUUUCUAAAAUGUGUUGCAGAUAUCAAAUUCUAAAUGUGUUUGUUGAUCAUUGAAAACAUUGGAAAUCUUUUCUGUCUACUUUUAUCAGUUAAAUAAAGUUAAAUCAGUUAAAUUUUGCAUUUUGAAA